GCAGUCGUGGCCGAGUGGUUAAGCGAUGGACUAGAAAUCCAUUGGGGUCUCCCCGCACAGGUUCGAAUCCUGUCGACUGCG
rnacentral:tRNA from 1 species